CUUCAGCGACCCCAGCCACAAGGGCUGUUCGGCGGACCGGUCCUGACCGUACGUGGCCAGCAGCGCAUCGGCCUC
rfam:Streptomyces albolongus strain YIM 101047, complete genome.